GGGGAAUAACAGUUGGAAACAGCUGCUAAUACCGCAUAAUGCAGUUGGGUCGCAUGACCCUGACUGCCAAAGAUUUAUCGCUCUGAGAUGGCCUCGCGUCUGAUUAGCUAGUUGGCGGGGUAACGGCCCACCAAGGCGACGAUCAGUAGCCGGACUGAGAGGUUGGCCGGCCACAUUGGGACUGAGACACGGCCCAGACUCCUACGGGAGGCAGCAGUG
rnacentral:rRNA from 1 species